rnacentral:rRNA from 1 species
UGGGGAAUAUUGGACAAUGGGCGAAAGCCUGAUCCAGCUAUGCCGCGUGAGUGAAGAAGGCCUUAGGGUUGUAAAGCUCUUUCGGCAGGGAAGAUAAUGACGGUACCUGCAAAAGAAGCCCCGGCUAACUCCGUGCCAGCAGCCGCGGUAAUACGGAGGGGGCUAGCGUUGCUCGGAAUUACUGGGCGUAAAGCGAGCGUAGGCGGUUAACCAAGUUGGGGGUGAAAGCCCGGAGCUCAACUCCGGAAAUGCCCUCAAAACUAGUUGACUCGAGGCCGGGAGAGGAGAGUGGAAUUCCCAGUGUAGAGGUGAAAUUCGUAGAUAUUGGGAAGAACACCAGUGGCGAAGGCGGCUCUCUGGACCGGUUCUGACGCUGAGGCUCGAAAGCGUGGGUAGCAAACAGG